UCUAAAGUGAUGAUUUCCUUAUUACUGCCCCAUUCUGAAAUGUCAUGACUGAUUGGUAAUUCUCUGAUUUAAA